GAUGAACGCUAGCUACAGGCUUAACACAUGCCAGUCGAGGGGCAGCAUGGUCUUAGCUUGCUAAGGCCGAUGGCGACCGGCGCACGGGUGAGUAACACGUAUCCAACCUGCCGUCUACUCUUGGACAGCCUUCUGAAAGGAAGAUUAAUACAAGAUGGCAUCAUGAGUUCACAUGUUCACAUGAUUAAAGGUAUUCCGGUAGACGAUGGGGAUGCGUUCCAUUAGAUAGUAGGCGGGGUAACGGCCCACCUAGUCUUCGAUGGAUAGGGGUUCUGAGAGGAAGGUCCCCCACAUUGGAACUGAGACACGGUCCAAACUCCUACGGGAGGCAGCAGUGAGGAAUAUUGGUCAAUGGGCGAGAGCCUGAACCAGCCAAGUAGCGUGAAGGAUGACUGCCCUAUGGGUUGUAAACUUCUUUUAUAAAGGAAUAAAGUCGGGUAUGGAUACCCGUUUGCAUGUACUUUAUGAAUAAGGAUCGGCUAACUCCGUG
rnacentral:rRNA from 1 species